ACCUGCGGAAGGAUCAUUACCGAGUGCGGGCUGCCUCCGGGCGCCCAACCUCCCACCCGUGACUACCUAACACUGUUGCUUCGGCGGGGAGCCCUCUCGGGGGCGAGCCGCCGGGGACUACUGAACUUCAUGCCUGAGAGUGAUGCAGUCUGAGUCUGAAUAUAAAAUCAGUCAAAACUUUCAACAAUGGAUCUCUUGGUUCCGGCAUCGAUGAAGAACGCAGCGAACUGCGAUAAGUAAUGUGAAUUGCAGAAUUCAGUGAAUCAUCGAGUCUUUGAACGCACAUUGCGCCCCCUGGCAUUCCGGGGGGCAUGCCUGUCCGAGCGUCAUUGCUGCCCAUCAAGCCCGGCUUGUGUGUUGGGUCGUCGUCCCCCCCGGGGGACGGGCCCGAAAGGCAGCGGCGGCACCGUGUCCGGUCCUCGAGCGUAUGGGGCUUUGUCACCCGCUCGAUUAGGGCCGGCCGGGCGCCAGCCGACGUCUCCAACCAUUCUUCAGGUGACCUC
rnacentral:rRNA from 1 species